UACGAGGGGGGCAAGCGUUGUUCGGAAUUAUUGGGCGUAAAGGGCGUGUAGGCGGCCCGGUAAGUCCGCUGUGAAAGUCCAGGGCUCAACCCUGGGAUGCCGGUGGAUACUGUCGGGCUCGAGUCCGGAAGAGGCGAGUGGAAUUCCUAGUGUAGCGGUGAAAUGCGCAGAUAUCAGGAGGAACACCGAUGGCGAAGGCAGCUCGCUGGGACGUGACUGACGCUGAGACGCGAAAGCGUGGGGAGCAAACAGG
rnacentral:rRNA from 1 species